AAAAUAUGUAAAAGAAUUUUCAAUGUUUAAUAUAAUAUGUAAAAUAAUUUUCUUAUAUUGGAAUUGGCAGAUGGCUGAGGGCCUUCGUGAAACGUGGGAGAGAAGCGAUAACAUUAUCGUUCAAAAAAUUCAGGAGUAAGUAUUUAUGUGAAAGGCCAUAUUCUUUGGCCAUUUGACCUUAUUUAUGAUUGAAUUAUUUGGAUGGAAAUGAUAAACUACACAUUAUUGUCUGCUUGAGUUGUGAUCUUGAUUAUGGGCUAUUUGGUAUUUUGCCUACAAACUGUAUAGUUAAUUAUCUGUUAGCUUUUGUUUUCCUGUCACAGCUUUAUGUUUCUGUGGCUAAUUGUAGCCAAAAGUUUUAUUUAUCGAUCUUAUUUUUCACAGCAUAAAUGAAACCGCGUUUCAAGCAUCAAAUGCUGCUACAUCAUUCAAGGAAAUUCGUCGUAGAGGUCUUUCUCUUUACCAAAUUUCGUAGCUGAACUUUAAGAAGCAAUCAAACCGGUGUUAACUUCUUAUAUAAAGGUAGAUUCCCAAACUUUGAAGAAACGCUGCAGUACUGAGGUAAUUGAACGUUGUAAGGCAGAGCAUUGGGCUUACCGGAGCCAAGGUAUCUUCUUCGAUAACAAGUAAGGAUAGUCCUGAUACUACCUUUCUUUUGUUAUUGAAGUUUAUUGUUCCUUCUCUCUUGUUUGGUGGUUGUGCACCUAUAUUGAUUUGUACUUCUGUUAAUUAAUUAUAGUCCUUCUCUCUUGUUUGAGUAAUUAUU